ACUCCUACGGGAGGCAGCAGUGGGGAAUUUUGGACGAUGGGCGCAAGCCUGAUCCAGCCAUGCCGCGUGCGGGAAGAAGGCCUUCGGGUUGUAAACCGCUUUUGUCAGGGAAGAAAGGGUUCUGGUUAAUACCUGGGACUCAUGACGGUACCUGAAGAAUAAGCACCGGCUAACUACGUGCCAGCAGCCGCGGUAAU
rnacentral:rRNA from 1 species